UACGGAGGGUGCAAGCGUUGUCCGGAUUUAUUGGGUUUAAAGGGUGCGUAGGCGGUCUUUUAAGUCAGUGGUGAAAUCCUCCAGCUUAACUGGAGAACUGCCAUUGAUACUGAGAGACUUGAGUAUAGUUGAGGUAGGCGGAAUUGACGGUGUAGCGGUGAAAUGCAUAGAUAUCGUCAAGAACCCCGAUUGCGAAGGCAGCUUACUAAACUAUAACUGACGCUGAGGCACGAAAGUGCGGGGAUCAAACAGGG
rnacentral:rRNA from 1 species